CUCCUAACGCCUGUGGCCGGUGGUGACGGCACAAGAAGGAGCAGGAGUAAAGGCAGGUUGGCUGGCUGGGAAGAUGCUGACCCUGUUGGAUCGCAAGCUUCUACAGCAGCUCCUCCUUCCGGUGCAGGAAUCACAGGCUCUGCUGGAGGCCAUGCAGGGUUUGUCCAGUGCAAGUCAUUAGUCUCAGAAAUAUGGGGUGAAUUCCCACUUCUUUAGGAUGCGAACAACAGAGGCAGGUUUGGAGGAAAUGUCUUCCAUCAGAA